GCUUCAGAGAUGAAGUCAGAAACCAUCUGCUUUCUUUACUUUAAAAAUGUAGAAAAUGGCACACAAAAUGCUGAAGUGUUUUCUAUGGCUACUAGGGACUAGAUUGUACCUCCCCUGAAGUCAUACAAUGAAGCCCUUAAGUUUUGAAAGGCCAGUAUACACAUGUGGAACACGGCCAAGGCCUACUGUUUCUCUGCAUCCUCUGACUUCACCUCCUGUCUGUCCAUACUUCCUCCCCAGCUUCUGCUCAUUACCCCAGGACACAGGAGAUAGCAAGUGAUCUCAUGUCUACUUACCAAGAAAGUUCCAACCCUGACAAAUAUCACCAAAUGAACAGCCUUUUCCAGGGAAAGUAAGAGGUCUAGGACUAGAUUUUUACUUCUUUGGAAUUUUUUUUUUAACACAAAGCCCACUACUAAUUUGCUUGUGUUUGGGGAGACAAUAGUAGGACUUGCCAUGUGGGCUUCAAUCUAAGAAGACCUGGAUUCUCUGAAUGCAUCCCAGGUGUUUAGCUCUUCAGCCCGUGGGGAGCUUUACCUUGUGACCAAUCAGAAGCCUUCAAGCUAUGGAGAAGUCAUUUCCUGUGAAUCCUAAAGGAUGCUCUACCUGGCUACUCAUCAGAUUUCAGUUACACCAGUACAGCUGGUUCCAUACAGUGAUUUCACUGGGCUUCAUGAAAGACUGAUCAAAAGGCAGUCAUGCAAUGAUAUGGGUCAGGCAAGAAAUCUAAAAUAAGUUUUCAUAAGAUAAUGGAAAAGUAGGAUCUAGGCCUAGUGAUUCUUAAAGAAUUCUCAUCCCUUUCCAACACACCUAUUGAGAAGACCCUCGCAUAGCAGCAAGGAUGGCUGAGAAGAUCUUGUUUUGCUCCAUGUCAACGUUAGAAUAUAAAGCAGGCCUAUUUAUUAUUGAGACAAUCCUGGUCUUACAAAGCAACAGAAGUAGCAGACUAUUUCUAAGGUCACAGAAUUAUGCCAGUUUUCCCUGUUUGAUCAACAUCUUUAAUAUCUCAUAAUUAUAUCCUC